CCCAUUAACGUUUAAAUAUCAUGCUACUGAAAUGGCUGACAUCUAGCAAAAUAGAAGAAAAUUCACGAGAUAUUAGCUAGAUAUUAGAGAAAUAUAUAAUAUGAAAUUAAAAGAAAUAAAGAUUGAUAGAGCUUAUACUUGAGAAAAUCGAGCAAUAUGUACGAGUAAAAUCAAUGCCUCGUAUGUGAUUUUAACAUAUGGCAGGAUCUUUGGCCACUUGUCCUGACUGGAAACAUAGAAGAACCAAUAAGCAAAACUAAAAUUUGAAUAAACCAAAAUAAGGUAGAGUAAUUUUAUAAAAAAAUUGUAAAACUUCAAUAAGGAGCAUAUUUACUCCACAUAGUAAACAUUUCCAGCAUAUGCAAAUGUCCAAAAGUAAACCACAUCACCAAUCAGUUUCAAUCACAUGAGACCCUGUGACAUUCUUAUGAAAAAUUAAAUGAAGAAAAGUAGAUGAUUCCUACAACAUUACUAUAUUAAUAGCAUGUUAAUAGUAAAAAGAACAAAAUAUUGCAAUUUUAUUUAUUUUCUAUCGUUGUGGCUCGGGGAAUGCAUUUAUCUACUUGAUAAAUAGCACUGCCUUGUUCUACAGAGUGAUAAACUCCCAAUCAUCAAUUUAUUUGCUUCUCCAGAUUGGUGGAAUUUGUGUCUUGCCGAUUAUCUGUGAUUGGAAACGAAAAUGUCUACCAUCAAUACGAACAAUUCUUAGCAACUUUGGAUAUUUGACAGCAGUUUCAAUAUUGAAUUAGAACAAUUAUUAAAGGCUAUUGAAGAACAUACCACAUGAAACAGAGAGACUAAUUUGCAAGAAGGAUGAACCGACGAAACUGCAAGAUUAUGAACUUUCAGUAAAAGAUCGAAAAAGCCAUUGCUUAAUAGUAAAUUAAGUUGCAGAU
rnacentral:lncRNA from 1 species